AGAAAGCGUAAUAGCUCACUGGUCGAGUCGGCCUGCGCGGAAGAUGUAACGGGGCUAAACCAUGCACCGAAGCUGCGGCAGCGACACUGUGUGUUGUUGGGUAGGGGAGCGUUCUGUAAGCCUGUGAAGGUGGCCUGUGAGGGUUGCUGGAGGUAUCAGAAGUGCGAAUGCUGACAUAAGUAACGAUAAAGCGGGUGAAAAGCCCGCUCGCCGGAAGACCAAGGGUUCCUGUCCAACGUUAAUCGGGGCAGGGUGAGUCGACCCCUAAGGCGAGGCCGAAAGGCGUAGUCGAUGGGAAACGGGUUAAUAUUCCCGUACUUGGUGUUACUGCGAAGGGGGGACGGAGAAGGCUAUGUUGGCCGGGCGACGGUUGUCCCGGUUUAAGCGUGUAGGUGUGUGUUCCAGGUAAAUCCGGUUCACUUUAACACUGAGGCGUGAUGACGAGGCACUACGGUGCUGAAGCAACAAAUGCCCUGCUUCCAGGAAAAGCCUCUAAGCAUCAGGUAACAUCAAAUCGUACCCCAAACCGACACAGGUGGUCAGGUAGAGAAUACCAAGGCGCUUGAGAGAACUCGGGUGAAGGAACUAGGCAAAAUGGUGCCGUAACUUCGGGAGAAGGCACGCUGACA
rnacentral:rRNA from 1 species